rnacentral:rRNA from 1 species
AACGAACGCCGGCGGCGUGCUUAACACAUGCAAGUCGAACGGAAAGGCCCUGCUUUUGUGGGGUGCUCGAGUGGCGAACGGGUGAGUAACACGUGAGUAACCUGCCCUUGACUUUGGGAUAACUUCAGGAAACUGGGGCUAAUACCGGAUAGGAGCUCCUGCUGCAUGGUGGGGGUUGGAAAGUUUCGGCGGUUGGGGAUGGACUCGCGGCUUAUCAGCUUGUUGGUGGGGUAGUGGCUUACCAAGGCUUUGACGGGUAGCCGGCCUGAGAGGGUGACCGGCCACAUUGGGACUGAGAUACGGCCCAGACUCCUACGGGAGGCAGCAGUGGGGAAUAUUGCACAAUGGGCGGAAGCCUGAUGCAGCAACGCCGCGUGCGGGAUGACGGCCUUCGGGUUGUAAACCGCUUUCGCCUGUGACGAAGCGUGAGUGACGGUAAUGGGUAAAGAAGCACCGGCUAACUACGUG